rnacentral:rRNA from 1 species
AACGAACGCUGGCGGCAGGCUUAACACAUGCAAGUCGAACGCUUGUAGCAAUACACGAGUGGCGCACGGGUGAGUAACGCGUGGAUAUCUGCCUUUUGGUUCGGAAUAACUCCGGGAAACUGGAGCUAAUACCGGAUGGUUCCUUCGGGAUAAAGAUUUAUCGCCAAAAGAUGAGUCCGCGUACGAUUAGCUAGUUGGUGAGGUAAUGGCUCACCAAGGCGACGAUCGUUAGCUGGUCUGAGAGGACGAUCAGCCACACUGGGACUGAGACACGGCCCAGACUCCUACGGGAGGCAGCAGUGGGGAAUAUUGGACAAUGGGGGCAACCCUGAUCCAGCCAUGCCGCGUGAGUGAUGAAGGCCUUCGGGUUGUAAAGCUCUUUUGGCGGGGACGAUGAUGACGGUACCCGCAGAAUAAGCCCCGGCUAACUUCGUGCCAGCAGCCGCAGUAA